CGAAAGUUAGAGGUUCGAAGGCGAUCAGAUACCGCCCUAGUUCUAACCAUAAACGAUGCCAGCCAGCGAUCCGGCUGUGUUCCUCAAAUGACACGCCGGGCAGCUUCCGGGAAACCAAAGCUUUUGGGUUCCGGGGGAAGUAUGGUUGCAAAGCUGAAACUUAAAGGAAUUGACGGAGGGGCACCACCAGACGUGGAUGUUGCGGUUCAAUUUGACUCAACGCAGCAAAUCCUACCAGGCCAGGACACAGGAAGGAUUGACAGAUUGAGAGCUCUUUCUUGAUUCUGUGGGUGGUGGUGCAUGGCCGUUCCUGGUUCGUGGAGCGAUUUGUCUUGUUUAUUCUGAUAACGGACGAGAUUCUAGCCUACUAAAUAGACGCUUCGAUCCUUCGAGUCGAGCGUUCUUCUUAGAGGGACAGGCGGUGUUUAGCCGCACGAGGCAGAGCAAUAACAGGUCUGUAAUGCCCUUAGAUGUCCUGGGCCACACGCGUCCUACAUUGAAGGAAUCAACGUGUGCUUUCCCUGUCCGAAGGGACCGGGUAACCCGUUGAACUUCCUUCGUGCUGGGGAUAGG
rnacentral:rRNA from 1 species